ensembl:lncRNA
GUCUAUAGGGAAGGCUGUAGGUUUGUUUUUGGGUUUUGUUUUCUACUUUCAGUAGCAUCCAGAGUGAGUUACUUCCCUUCCAAGAAAAGCCAUUCAUUCACCAUCCGAUUUAGUGGCUGCAUGUGACACCACAUGGCCCCAUCUCAUUACAAAUGGAGCCAUGCUACAAUCACCUGGCUGUGUCCUUAACUGACUCGGCUCCACUCCCGCCAGGCCCUGGGCCACUCCACCAGCGUACUACAGUUUAAUUGUUUCCCCUUAAAAUACAGAUGUGGAGGAGGCCACUCAGCUUAUAGGACCCUUUAAGGUGGCCUCCCUAGGGCUGGGUGGCCUCACUGCAGCUUCUCCUGGGCUGUCUUUCUCCAGGAUGAGUGGGGCCAGACCAGCAGGGAAUGGUUCAUGCCCUAGGGGAGGAGCGGAAUGGGGACUAGGACCAGGGUUUCCUGAAACCACUGACUCAGAGAGUGGAUUAGAGCCUGGGAGGGCCCAGGAGAGAUGGCAGUCUGCUUCAGCAUUCUCAUCAGUACACAUUUUUUUUUUUUGAAUCUUGUUAAUAGUCAUCGGCUCCCAAUGCCAGCUUUAAUCUUUCUUCUCAUCCUCUGGAUCAGUGGCUCUGAAACCUUAGCGUGCAUCAGAAUCAGAGAGCUCCUUAAAACACAGCUCUAACCUGGGACCUCCGAGCCCCAGGCUAUUCCACGGCUGUAGAUCUAGGCUCAUGCUGGCUCCUGGACCUGGGUUACCCUUCCUAACUUCCAAUGUCUGGCUGCCUGCUGUUUCUACAUAAGAACUUCCUUUGGCUGGUUUCAAUGAAACUCAGCCCUUGGCCAUGCUAUUUCUGCCCUGUAGGCAAGGUGACUGGCUUCCAGGUGACUGGCUUCCAGCCUAUGUGUUUUCAACCUUCAGAGAGCAGGAUCUGAUCAUCUGCUUGGCAAGAUGAGCAAAAGUCUGUCCUGUGGACAAACUGGUCAGCUGUUCCUCCCUGUCCAGAUGGACAUCUGCUGCUGCUGCUGCCUGGGUGAGAGGCCACAGGGUAUCCAGCCAUCUGGGAGUUUGGAUUCCCAGAUGCCAGCAGAUGGAGACUGGAAAACGCUGGGCUGAUGAAUGGCAUUUUCCACCUGUGGUUAGAAUCCUUGGGGGAUGGCAAGUUAUGUUACUCACCGCUCACCUGGAUACUCCCUGAAGCUUCUGUUACUUUUAUAUAAUUGCCCCUUCUUGUUCUCACCUGUGGUGCUGAGUUCGGCACUGGGAACACUAUACAUGCUCACAGAUCCAGCAGCAUCAUCUCAAGGGCCUCAUCCUCAGCGCUGGCAAUGCAGGCUGAUCUCCCACAGUGGGAGUAGACAGAAAGGGCUCUGACUUGACCCCGCUGUUUCUCUACAUAUGAGUCCUGUCACAAGUGAAUCGGCUGAGCUGCCCUGGCCAAGUGCCAUUUUCACCUGCUCCCGUCCCUCCCAAAGCCCCCAAACGUAUAAUGGUUUCAUG